GUUGCAAGUUGGUUCUCUCGGGCAUUUAGGGCAUCGGGUGUCUGUCCGUCUUAAUGGGUUUUAAGGCAUGAAAAUGAGAAUCAAAUCCUUCCUUCAAAACUCGUCACAAGACUUCAACGGCCAGAACCUCAAUUUCAGCAACUUCUCCUUAUAACUUGAAUUCUUCUAGAAAUUUAGGUUCCCUUCAUACUUAAACCAAAGAACAAG
rnacentral:misc_RNA from 1 species